UACGGAGGGGGCUAGCGUUGUUCGGAAUUACUGGGCGUAAAGCGCACGUAGGCGGCUUUGUAAGUUAGAGGUGAAAGCCCAGGGCUUAACCCUGGAAUUGCCUUUAAGACUGCAUCGCUAGAAUCGUGGAGAGGUAAGUGGAAUUCCGAGUGUAGAGGUGAAAUUCGUAGAUAUCAGGAGGAACACCAAUGGCGAAGGCAGCUCGCUGGGACGGUACUGACGCUGAGACGGCGAAAGCGUGGGGAGCAAACAGGG
rnacentral:rRNA from 1 species